GAUGAACGCUGGCGGCGUGCCUAAUACAUGCAAGUCGAGCGAACGGACGAGGAGCUUGCUUCUCUGAUGUUAGCGGCGGACGGGUGAGUAACACGUGGAUAACCUACCUAUAAGACUGGGAUAACUUCGGGAAACCGGAGCUAAUACCGGAUAAUAUUUUGAACCGCAUGGUUCAAAAGUGAAAGACGGUCUUGCUGUCACUUAUAGAUGGAUCCGCGCUGCAUUAGCUAGUUGGUAAGGUAACGGCUUACCAAGGCAACGAUGCGUAGCCGACCUGAGAGGGUGAUCGGCCACACUGGAACUGAGACACGGUCCAGACUCCUACGGGAGGCAGCAGUAGGGAAUCUUCCGCAAUGGGCGAAAGCCUGACGGAGCAACGCCGCGUGAGUGAUGAAGGUCUUCGGAUCGUAAAACUCUGUUAUUAGGGAAGAACAUAUGUGUAAGUAACUGUGCACAUCUUGACGGUACCUAAUCAGAAAGCCACGGCUAACUACGUG
rnacentral:rRNA from 1 species